rnacentral:misc_RNA from 1 species
GAUGAAGAACGUAGCGAAAUGCGAUAAGUAGUGUGAAUUGCAGAAUUCAGUGAAUCAUCGAAUCUUUGAACGCACAUUGCGCCCCUUGGUAUCCCGAGGGGCAUGCCUGUUCGAGCGUCAUUUGUACCUUCAAGCUCUGCUUGGUGUUGGGUGUUUGUCUCGCCUCUGCGUGUAGACUCGCCUCAAAACAAUUGGCAGCCGGCGUAUUGAUUUCGGAGCGCAGUACAUCUCGCGCUUUGCACUCAUAACGACGACGUCCAAAAGUACAUUUUUACACUCUUGACCUCGGAUCAGGUAGGGAUACCCGCUGAACUUAAGCAUAUCAAUAAGCGGAGGA